rnacentral:lncRNA from 1 species
AAUUGUUUGUCGCCCUACGCGAUGGUUACGCCAUUGGCGACGAAGGUUGUGGGGCUUGAGAAUGAAGCGUUUGAGACGGCAUUGAGUAUGGCUGGGAACCUUAAAGGAGCGAUAUUAAGGGUGGAUGAUGUUGCAAAAGCAGCACUGUUCUUGGCAAGUGAUGAUGCUAAGUAUAUCAGUGUAACACAAAGGAAGAUUUCGAACGGGUGCUCAGUAUAAACGUGACUGGAGUUUUCUUGUGCAUGAAGCAUGCCGCUCGUGUCAUGGUCCCGGCACGUAGCGGUUGCAUCAUCUCCACCGCCAGUGUAAGUUCCAGCGUUGGAGCUGCAGCGUCACAUGCAUACUGCAGCUCCAAACACGCUGUGUUGGGGCUCACAAAGAACCUGGCGGUGGAGUUGGGACAAUUUGGUAUACGUGUGAAUUGUUUGUCGCCCUACGCGAUGGUUACGCCAUUGGCGACGAAGGUUGUGGGGCUUGAGAAUGAAGCGUUUGAGACGGCAUUGAGUAUGGCUGGGAACCUUAAAGGAGCGAUAUUAAGGGUGGAUGAUGUUGCAAAAGCAGCACUGUUCUUGGCAAGUGAUGAUGCUAAGUAUAUCAGUGGGCACAAUUUAUUCAUUGAUGGGGGAUUCACUGUGUAUAAUCCAUCACUAGGCAUGUUCAAAUAUCCAGAAUCAUGAUAUAGAGGAUUUGAAGUUUUUUCUUGAAAUAAUUUUACAUAGCUGCUGCUAAUUUAAUUAUUAAGGGAAUACACACUUUUGAUUUAAGAAAUCAAAGUUCUUUUGUGGCUCAUUUUUUUAACUAAGAAAUCCUUAAGGGUUGUGGCGCAAGAUACGAACUUGAUGGACCGUCUAUCCUUUUUCACUUAAAUAUUAUGCUUUUGUCCAUAGGAAGUUUCCAAAUCGUGAUGUGAGCCUAACCUCAUCAUACGUUAUGCUGUUACAACUAAACCAAAAUCAUGUGGAUUUAUUUGUCUCAUUAUGAUAUGAAUUUUAUGAAAACUUAAGAGCCUUUUAAUAUAUUUUGGCUUAGCCAUACAAUUCAUUGAGCGGCCCUGACUGUUAUUUGAU